UGUCUUAGCUAACUAGAAAUAAUAGUUUCAUCGCUUCUCGGCCUUUUGGCUAAGAUCAAGUGUAGAAAUAAUAGUUUCAGGGGGGC
rnacentral:miRNA from 14 species